rnacentral:siRNA from 1 species
ACGCGGUUGGCCUAAAUCCGAGCC